CGAGCUGUUUUCAGCAUGAUCUGUAAAGAAACAUUUUAAAAUCAGAAAAAGACAGUCUUGCUGCUUUCCAUCCUACAGGGGAAGACUUGAAAGAGCUUUACAUAAUUCCCUCCCUCCAUUUUGUUUUGACAUCUGUGACAAGGACACAAGCUCUGUCACAAUGGACCAGAUAACAGACCAGAAAGCACAAAGGCUUUGGGAUUCCUGUGGCUGGAUGAAGGUAGGAGAUAGUAUUUCCACAUAAAUGUUCAAGGCCAAGUUGGAGGGAGUCUUGGUCACAUGGUUUAUGUGUGGCGCCCCUGCUGAGGCAGGGGUUUGGAACUAGGCAAUUUCAAGGUCCUUUCCAACCCAAACUGUUCUAUGAUUCUAUAAAUAUUUCCUGUGAACUGAAUCCUUCCACAUUCACAGGCCUACUGAUGAUGUCUCGCAAUACAGCUUGAAGUGUCCAAAACACUGAGAAACAGCAGAAGUGAACUUGGAUUCAACAGGAGCAUCAGAUGUGUUUACUUAGUGGGUCUCAUUUAGAGCUUUUGUAAUGGAGUACAAGCAUUCCACUGGAAGAGAAACGGGGCUUGAAUUUUUAGCAGACAUCCCUCCUAGGGGAACUGUAUUUGGCCUUGGAGUUAUAUUGGUGUAAGUACAAGUAAAUAUGCUAUAAAAUGCUCAUCAUCAGUUUAAACUUUUAUUAGAACUCUUCCUUUUGAAUGCCAGUCACUGUUAGAAUGUGCAAUGCAAAUGCUACACUGCAAUGCCUAUUUAUCACUGGCAACCAGCAGCUGAGGAAGCUGUUUAAUUUCUUAAACACACAGUCCAGGUGUAAAUAUCACAUCUUUCUGCCGUGGGGAGCAGUGGCAUUCCCAUAUUCACCUGCACAUGCCCUGAAACUACUGCCUCCUACCCAGGCCAUAUGUAAUAGCUUUGACACAUUCACAAAAUCUUUCUGUAAGCCAGACAUUUUAAGCAUUAAGUGGUUAAGCUAACUGAUACUUGUAUGCAGUCACACCUAUGCAUGCAGGCACUGCACAGAAUUCUAGUACAUUGCUGCUCUUUUCCUUCUAUCAGCAAAUUUAUCUGGACUACAGCAAAACCAGGAACUGUCUUGCUAAUCUCCUUACCUUUCCAGACCACUCCACUUUGGGGUCAGUACUCAGAGGUUAUCCCAGAUCUACCCUAACGAGAGCUUUCUCCUUCUCAGCAGUCAGUUCUUAAUGUUGGUUAGGAUACCAGAUGUUGGUAUAAAGCUAAAAAUGCCAUAGCUAACUCUUUCUCUCCUACUUUUCUGGCAAAACCUUGAUGAAGAAUUUGAGCCAAACCAAACACUGAAAAAAUCAUCAAACCAUUCUGUCCUUUUAUUGACCACAAAGCCUUGUAAUGGCAUGGUUCCAGUAAGCAUACUGUUCUUACAGGACCUAAAGUCACAGUGUACUAGGAAAUGGAAACAGCUUUUAAAGAU